rnacentral:rRNA from 1 species
GGCACUACGGUGCUGAAGCAACAAAUGCCCUGCUUCCAGGAAAAGCCUCUAAGCAUCAGGUAACAUCAAAUCGUACCCCAAACCGACACAGGUGGUCAGGUAGAGAAUACCAAGGCGCUUGAGAGAACUCGGGUGAAGGAACUAGGCAAAAUGGUGCCGUAACUUCGGGAGAAGGCACGCUGAUAUGUAGGUGAAGUCCCUCGCGGAUGGAGCUGAAAUCAGUCGAAGAUACCAGCUGGCUGCAACUGUUUAUUAAAAACACAGCACUGUGCAAACACGAAAGUGGACGUAUACGGUGUGACGCCUGCCCGGUGCCGGAAGGUUAAUUGAUGGGGUUAGCGCAAGCGAAGCUCUUGAUCGAAGCCCCGGUAAACGGCGGCCGUAACUAUAACGGUCCUAAGGUAGCGAAAUUCCUUGUCGGGUAAGUUCCGACCUGCACGAAUGGCGUAAUGAUGGCCAGGCUGUCUCCACCCGAGACUCAGUGAAAUUGAACUCGCUGUGAAGAUGCAGUGUACCCGCGGCAAGACGGAAAGACCCCGUGAACCUUUACUAUAGCUUGACACUGAACAUUGAGCCUUGAUGUGUAGGAUAGGUGGGAGGCUUUGAAGUGUGGACGCCAGUCUGCAUGGAGCCGACCUUGAAAUACCACCCUUUAAUGUUUGAUGUUCUAACGUUGACCCGUGAUCCGGGUUGCGGACAGUGUCUGGUGGGUAGUUUGACUGGGGCGGUCUCCUCCUAAAGAGUAACGGAGGAGCACGAAGGUUGGCUAAUCCUGGUCGGACAUCAGGAGGUUAGUGCAAUGGCAUAAGCCAGCUUGACUGCGAGCGUGACGGCGCGAGCAGGUGCGAAAGCAGGUCAUAGUGAUCCGGUGGUUCUGAAUGGAAGGGCCAUCGCUCAACGGAUAAAAGGUACUCCGGGGAUAACAGGCUGAUACCGCCCAAGAGUUCAUAUCGACGGCGGUGUUUGGCACCUCGAUGUCGGCUCAUCACAUCCUGGGGCUGAAGUAGGUCCCAAGGGUAUGGCUGUUCGCCAUUUAAAGUGGUACGCGAGCUGGGUUUAGAACGUCGUGAGACAGUUCGGUCCCUAUCUGCCGUGGGCGCUGGAGAACUGAGGGGGGCUGCUCCUAGUACGAGAGGACCGGAGUGGACGCAUCACUGGUGUUCGGGUUGUCAUGCCAAUGGCACUGCCCGGUAGCUAAAUGCGGAAGAGAUAAGUGCUGAAAGCAUCUAAGCACGAAACUUGCCCCGAGAUGAGUUCUCCCUGACUCCUUGAGAGUCCUGAAGGAACGUUGAAGACGACGACGUUGAUAGGCCGGGUGUGUAAGCGCAGCGAUGCGUUGAGCUAACCGGUACUAAUGAACCGUGAGGCUUAACCUU